GCCAUGCUUCCUGCCAUGACGAUAAUGAACUAAACCUCUGAAACUAUGACUUGAGUUUGUGUCAAGUUGAAAAAUGCCCACCAACGCCGUCACCCACCGCACUGUUUGCAUGUGAUUACAGAAGUCACUGGGAAGCACCCGCCCGUCUGCAGUGCAGUGUGUUACAAGCCACGGUGAGUGCGCCUGUGUUUAUGGCCAUAAAGAAAACCGAGAAGCCUCUUUCAUGUAUGGAUUCUAUAUGGGAGCCAGAGAAAAAGCAGGGUGGCACAGAGGGCAAGAAGAAGAACAAAAAUACAGUUUGGAUGCUUGAGUUUGCUGCUCAUGGCUGGCACCACCUGAGAAUGACUGCCUGGGGCAAAUGAUUAGGGACCUGCUGAAAAUGAAACUUCCCUGCAGACCAAUGGAACAUUCUAGGCCUUCAGAUCCAGGUGAGUGCUCUUCUUUCAUCACGAGUUUGCUUUCUGAUUCUCAGAACCCAGAAAUGGCACGGUACUGACUAGAUACUUUCCUGUUUUCCGCCUCUGUGGUAAGUCUGCUUCCCUGCCUCACUGGUCGCUUCUCUUUCCUAUGUUGUCCCCAACUUCAGGAAAGGGGUUUGGGAUUGGGGAGGGGUGAUAGGCAUGCCCCUCCUCUGCUCUCUGCUCCCAUCUGGUCAUUUAAGUUCGAUUUCCUUUUUAUUUGUGUAUUUGUGAAUUUGUUUGUUUUUGCAGUGUUAGGAAUGAAACCUGGGGUCCCAAUCAUUCUAGGCAUCCCUCUAAUUCUUAAUCUCUAGUGAAUAUGGUCAUGCUCAAAAUAGUAUGAAUGCACAUGUGUGGAGAAAGACAGACAGAGAGCCACAGACACUGAGACAGAGAAGGAUUUUAAGGAAUUAGUUCACCUGCUGGUGGGACAGGCAAGGCUGAAAUCUGUAGCAGCCAAAGGCAUUGGACAUAGAAGGAAGAGUUAAUGGUCAAGCCUCGAGGCCAAAACUUAUGGACUAGAAACUCAGCCCAGGUUCCUUUGUUGUCUAGAAACCAGUCUUCGCUGUUAGGGCUACAACUAACAAGAUGGGGCCCACCCACCCGGUGGAAAGCGAUCUCAGAGUCUACGGAGUUGAACAUUAAUUCCAUCUAAGAUAUAUUUGCAUGGCAUUAUUUACACUGGUGUUUACCAAACAACUGGGCACCAGAGCUUAAUCAAGUUGGCGUGCUUCAAGCACCACAGCCAGCCUUCCCGUGGCCGCUGUAUUUGUGCCAUUCACUGCUGUUACCAUCAAACAGGCCCUCACCACGCUCACGCCUGUGCCCAGCCAUGACACUUUCCAGACACCUGCGCUACAGCAGAGAUCACAGGAGUGUCCUUGUCACUCAUGUCAGAAUCAUUCCACGGUUUCCUCUAAACAUUAGCGGAAGGAUUUCCCACAGGAACUGGGCCCCCGCUGAAGUGGAUUUCUUUUUGCUGGCCUCUUUAUUGGAUGAAUUCAUCUUGACAUAAUGGCAGCCAUCUUGAGUUGUAGCAGAGAGGCUCCGGCCCAGAAGAACCUGAUUGAGUUUUCCUGCAUAGUUUCCCAGCAAACUGUAAAUAGACACAACAUUAGAGUGGCAUGUGGAGUUUUACAGCUGGGCCGUGGUGCUAGGAAUGUGCCUGUCUCUUUGAUACCAGCGUAAGAUAAACCAGGUACAUUCCACUUUUAUGAGGUCACUUUUGUCCUAGCCAAUACACGCAGCUCUCCUUCUGACCCAAACUGUGAGGGCCCCCUUGGUCUUGUUGCAGCCCAGGACUGUACUGCUGUCAGCAAGUCACCUGAUGAACUACAUUCUGUGUAAUCCUGAAUCUCUUUGCC